GAUGAACGCUGGCGGCGUGCCUAAUACAUGCAAGUCGAGCGAACAGACGAGGAGCUUGCUCCUCUGACGUUAGCGGCGGACGGGUGAGUAACACGUGGAUAACCUACCUAUAAGACUGGGAUAACUUCGGGAAACCGGAGCUAAUACCGGAUAAUAUAUUGAACCGCAUGGUUCAAUAGUGAAAGACGGUUUUGCUGUCGCUUAUAGAUGAAUCCGCGCCGCAUUAGCUAGUUGGUAAGGUAACGGCUUACCAAGGCAACGAUGCGUAGCCGACCUGAGAGGGUGAUCAGCCACACUGGAACUGAGACACGGUCCAGACUCCUACGGGAGGCAGCAGUAGGGAAUCUUCCGCAAUGGGCGAAAGCCUGACGGAGCAACGCCGCGUGAGUGAUGAAGGUCUUCGGAUCGUAAAACUCUGUUAUUAGGGAAGAACAAAUGUGUAAGUAACUAUGCACGUCUUGACGGUACCUAAUCAGAAAGCCACGGCUAACUACGUG
rnacentral:rRNA from 1 species